GCGAGGGUAGUUCAGUGGUAGAAUGCUAGCCUUCCAAGCUGGUCACGCGGGUUCGAUUCCCGUCCCUCGCUCCA
rnacentral:tRNA from 1 species